rnacentral:rRNA from 1 species
UACGGGGGGGGCAAGCGUUGUUCGGAAUCACUGGGCGUAAAGCGCACGUAGGCGGAUCUUUAAGUCAGGGGUGAAAUCCCAGAGCUCAACUCUGGAACUGCCUUUGAUACUGGCGACCUAGAGUCCGGAAGAGGAGAGUGGAAUUCCCGGUGUAGCGGUGAAAUGCGCAGAUAUCGGGAAGAACACCCGUGGCGAAGGCGGCUCUCUGGGACGGUACUGACGCUGAGACGCGAAAGCGUGGGGAGCGAACAGG